rnacentral:rRNA from 1 species
GAUGAACGCUGACAGAAUGCUUAACACAUGCAAGUCAACUUGAACUUCGGUUUGGGUGGCGGACGGGUGAGUAACGCGUAAAGAACUUGCCUCACAGAUAGGGACAACAUUUGGAAACGAAUGCUAAUACCUGAUAUUAUGAUUUUAGGGCAUCCCUAGAAUUAUGAAAGCUAUAUGCGCUGUGAGAGAGCUUUGCUCCCCAUUAGCUAGUUGGAGAGGUAACGGCUCACCAAGGCGAUGAUGGGUAGCCGGCCUGAGAGGGGUGACCGGCCACAAGGGGACUGAAACACGGCCCUUUACUCCCUACGGGGAGGGCGCAGUGGGGAAUAUUGGACAAUGGACCAAGAGUCUGAUCCAGCAAUUCUGUGUGCACGAUGAAGGUUUUUCGGGAAUGUAAAGUGUUUUCCGUUUGGGAAGAAAAAAAAAGACGGUACCCAACAGAAAGAAGGUGACGGCUAAAUUCCGGGCCCAGCGGCCGCGGUAAUACGUCAU